rnacentral:tRNA from 1 species
GAGGGUAUAGCUCAAGUGGUAGAGCGCAUACUUAGCACCCAUGAGGACCUGGGUUCAAUCCCCAGUACCUCCU